AGUUCCUUUAAAUUAGCUCAGAGAGGCUGAAAAGGAUGAACGGACGUGCGCUUUCAAGGAAGCUGUGCGUAAUUUCGGACAGCCUAGCCGCUUUGAGUGGUGGGCUGUCUUUUCU
rfam:Lactobacillus plantarum WCFS1 complete genome